AUUGAACGCUGGCGGCAGGCCUAACACAUGCAAGUCGAGCGGAUGAAGGGAGCUUGCUCCUGGAUUCAGCGGCGGACGGGUGAGUAAUGCCUAGGAAUCUGCCUGGUAGUGGGGGAUAACGUCCGGAAACGGGCGCUAAUACCGCAUACGUCCUGAGGGAGAAAGUGGGGGAUCUUCGGACCUCACGCUAUCAGAUGAGCCUAGGUCGGAUUAGCUAGUUGGUGGGGUAAAGGCCUACCAAGGCGACGAUCCGUAACUGGUCUGAGAGGAUGAUCAGUCACACUGGAACUGAGACGCGGUCCAGACUCCUACGGGGGGCAGGGGGGGGGAAUUUUGGAAAAGGGGCGAAAGCCUGACCCAGCCAUGCCGCGUGUGUGAAGAAGGUCUUCGGAUUGUAAAGCACUUUAAGUUGGGAGGAAGGGCAGUAAUUUAAUACCUUGUUUUUUUGGCUUUACCAACAGAAUAAGCCCCGGCAAACUUCGU
rnacentral:rRNA from 1 species